GCACUGCUGAUGAGUCCCCUAAUAGAACGAAAUGGCCAUCCAGUGC
rfam:Schistosoma haematobium scaffold426_16, whole genome shotgun sequence.